AGAGUUUGAUCCUGGCUCAGGACGAACGCUGGCGGCGUGCCUAAUACAUGCAAGUCGAGCGAAUCUUUGGGAGCUUGCUCCCAUUGGUUAGCGGCGGACGGGUGAGUAACACGUGGGCAACCUGCCUGUAAGACUGGGAUAACACCGGGAAACCGGUGCUAAUACCGGAUAAUCCUUUUCCUCUCAUGAGGGAAAGCUGAAAGACGGCGUCACGCUGUCACUUACAGAUGGGCCCGCGGCGCAUUAGCUAGUUGGUGAGGUAACGGCUCACCAAGGCGACGAUGCGUAGCCGACCUGAGAGGGUGAUCGGCCACACUGGGACUGAGACACGGCCCAGACUCCUACGGGAGGCAGCAGUAGGGAAUCUUCCGCAAUGGACGAAAGUCUGACGGAGCAACGCCGCGUGAGCGAUGAAGGCCUUCGGGUCGUAAAGCUCUGUUGUUAGGGAAGAACAAGUACCGGAGUAACUGCCGGUACCUUGACGGUACCUAACCAGAAAGCCACGGCUAACUACGUGCCAGCAGCCGCGGUAAUACGUAGGUGGCAAGCGUUGUCCGGAAUUAUUGGGCGUAAAGCGCGCGCAGGCGGUCCUUUAAGUCUGAUGUGAAAGCCCACGGCUCAACCGUGGAGGGUCAUUGGAAACUGGGGGACUUGAGUGCAGAAGAGGAAAGCGGAAUUCCACGUGUAGCGGUGAAAUGCGUAGAGAUGUGGAGGAACACCAGUGGCGAAGGCGGCUUUCUGGUCUGUAACUGACGCUGAGGCGCGAAAGCGUGGGGAGCAAACAGGAUUAGAUACCCUGGUAGUCCACGCCGUAAACGAUGAGUGCUAAGUGUUAGAGGGUUUCCGCCCUUUAGUGCUGCAGCUAACGCAUUAAGCACUCCGCCUGGGGAGUACGGCCGCAAGGCUGAAACUUAAAGGAAUUGACGG
rnacentral:rRNA from 1 species